rnacentral:rRNA from 1 species
CACGUAGGGGGCAAGCGUUGUCCGGAUUUACUGGGCGUAAAGAGCGCGCAGGCGGUCGUUCAAGUCGCGUGUGAAAGCCCCCGGCUCAACUGGGGAGGGUCACGCGAUACUGAUCGACUCGAAGGCAGGAGAGGGUAGUGGAAUUCCCGGUGUAGUGGUGAAAUGCGUAGAUAUCGGGAGGAACACCAGUGGCGAAAGGCGACUACCUGGCCUGUUCUUGACGCUGAGGCGCGAAAGCUAGGGGAGCAAACGGG